UACGGAGGGUGCAAGCGUUAUCCGGAUUCACUGGGUUUAAAGGGUGUGUAGGCGGGCUAUUAAGUCAGUGGUGAAAUCUCCGGGCUCAACCCGGAAACUGCCACUGAUACUAUUAGUCUUGAAUUCUGUUGAGGUAGGCGGAAUAUAUCAUGUAGCGGUGAAAUGCAUAGAUAUGAUAUAGAACACCGAUUGCGAAGGCAGCUUACUAAGCAGAUAUUGACGCUGAGGCACGAAAGCGUGGGGAUCAAACAGG
rnacentral:rRNA from 1 species